rnacentral:rRNA from 1 species
AACGAACGCUGGCGGCAGGCUUAACACAUGCGAGUCGAACGCCCCGCAAGGGGAGUGGCAGACGGGUGAGUAACGCGUGGGAAUCUACCCAGAACUUCGGAACAACUGAGGGAAACUUCGGCUAAUACCGGAUACGCCCUACGGGGGAAAGAUUUAUCGGUUCUGGAUGAGCCCGCGUUGGAUUAGCUAGUUGGUGGGGUAAUGGCCUACCAAGGCGACGAUCCAUAGCUGGUCUGAGAGGAUGAUCAGCCACACUGGGACUGAGACACGGCCCAGAGUCCUACGGGAGGCAGCAGUGGGGAAUAUUGGACAAUGGGCGAAAGCCUGAUCCAGCCAUGCCGCGUGAGUGAUGAAGGCCUUAGGGUUGUAAAGCUCUUUCAGUAGGGUAGAUAAUGACGGUACCUACAGAAGAAGCCCCGGCUAACUUCGUGCCAGCCGCCGCCGUAAUAC